rnacentral:tRNA from 1 species
GCACUGGUGGCUCAGUGGUAGAAUUCUCACCUUCCGUGCAGGAGAUAUGGGUUCGAUUCCCAGCCAUUGCA